CUAAAGAACUGGGUAUGACAUUUCAAAUUUAUAGUGAACCUUUUUCCUUAUUCUUUCCAUAAGGUUAGUUUUAUGAAGAAAUUCUUCAUAAUUAAACAUUUGAUGGAACUCCUCUCUUAAUACAGGCUUGUGACAAUUUGCCAGCAUUUCUGUAAACUGCAAGUUAUCCAUAGCUGGAGUCCAGAAAUAAAGAGGAUGCCCUCCUAUAAAUCAGUGCCCCCACACUCACCCUGGGGGGGAACGAAUCUCACUCAGGGCAAAGGUCACCCCUCCAUCAAAGAGAAAAGUCCCACCUCUCCCCUCCCCAAAUCCACUUGUUCCUGGAGGCAGACAGAAGGGACACCAAGGCUUGAAUCUGAAAAAUGCCGAGACUCUCAUGGUCCCAAGGCUCAUUUAAUCCCAAACAGACCGCUGCCAACAUACUGCUGGUGAUCAGCUGGAAAAGGUCAGGGGUGACAUCCCCGAGGAGGAGGCCGGAAGGAGAAAAGGGCCACAGUCUCACGAGUGACUCACACCACCAGUGAGCGCCAAGCCCAGCGUCCAGUCAGAAAAUUGCUGGUACCCAAACUCCAGGUGCCCAGGGAUGCACACCCACACCCCACAUUCACAUCUGCCAUCCCAAAGCUCCACCCUGCUAGCCGGCCUCUGCAUUUUCCGAUCAGACUGCAGAAGGAAGCCACAUCCUGACGCUGCUAUUCACUUGAAAGACGCAAAAGCCAAGUGAGAUGUGGUUUCCUACCAAGAGAGUAAGGAUCUGGGAGCUACCGACGGUGAUGCAAUGAAUUCUUCCUAUUUGGACAUUCAGAAUUCUGGAGAAGGAGAUCAAAGGUGCCCAGCGCUAAGCAAGCCAAGCCAGGUCCACAUGCUGGGUGCCAGCUCUGCUGUGGGCACACCGAGAAGAGCACAACGCAGAAGGCCAGGGCGGCACAGGGUGGCAUUUCCCAACAGCAUUCAGCAAGAAGAGAGUUAAAGCAGCAUUUCCCACAUCCUCUAGAACUUUUGAGGGGGAGGGGUUAGAAAAGCAAAGGGAUGCAUUUUUUAAAGAACAGUGUCAGAAUAACUCCAUCCAAGAGCUAAAACGUAGAAAACAUUUACAGCACCUAUAGUAUCGCCUUUUGAAGGAGGAAUGCUACUGCUUACGUUCAAAUAUUUAUGACUGCAGAUGUCUGAUCAAAAUCUUCUCACUUUCUUCUGCUUUCUUUAUUAGUUAUAUUCCUUCUGCCAAAAUCUAUGCCUGUUACUGAGAAAAUUUAGUUGUCUCCAGCUAAAUAUGGCCAUCAAACACCAGUGAAAAAGUUAUGCUUCCUGUACAACAGAGUUACUUUAUUCAGUUAAAAAUCUAAUUACAUUAUAAGCAAAAUACCACUUUUAACGAUAUAACCAACACCAAUGUUGAAAAUGGAAUAAAAACCAAAAGAGUGUAGUAUCCUGAAUGUUGACAACAAACAUAUUAACAAAUGAAAACACACAGGGUUGGACAAGCUCCUUCCCACUGAACGGAAUCAGCUUCUAUUUCAGUUUCCUAUUUCUGUGCCAUUAAGGUAUAAUGCAGUUGAAACUCUAAACACAAUCUCUGGCCAGACUUACAGGCAUUCUCACAAAAUUCUUUAUAAAAGAGCCGAUCUGGUAACUUAUGAAUAAGACCAAUACGUAUCCUAGAAAAUGAAUAAAUAAAAAUCCACAAUUACCCAAUAAACCAAGUACUGGUUUUUCAAGAACGAUCCAUGACUAAACUCUCCUUAAAUUCCUAGGUCACAUUAUCAUUUUUCCCUAUUUAGUAAGGCUGAAAACCAUCUGUUAGAGCUUACCNNNNNNNNNNNNNNNNNNNNNNNNNNNNNNNNNNNNNNNNNNNNNNNNNNNNNNNNNNNNNNNNNNNNNNNNNNNNNNNNNNNNNNNNNNNNNNNNNNNUCAUUUUUCCCUAUUUAGUAAGGCUGAAAACCAUCUGUUAGAGCUUACCCCACUCUGAGUUAUUCUUUAAAGAAGUUUCCUUUUCUUUUUUACAUAAUUGUUGCUAAACUUAAUCUCCACACCAAAUGCUCCACCUGUAAGACUCAGAUAUCUUCAAGUAGGAGCAGGUAAGGUAAGUGAAGUUAAAGUUUAAUUCUUGGAAGUGGAGACAAGGCGAUUUCAGCAUCGACCUGUUUUCACAAACAUCACCCAUUUAAUUCACCCUGGGUUGGUCUGUGGGACAUGUCACAAAGCUAGACAUGUGGGACUUCAGAGCCCCAAGAAAACUUUAAUCUCUAAAUUAGUCAACUUUAAAGGUCCUUUACAAAUUAACAAUGGGAUUAAGACUGGUGAUGAAAACUACCCUUGGGUCAUCAGUGACUAAUAUCAAUUACACAUCCAAAGGUUAAAAAUUCUUGAUUGAGUAAGUUUCAGUAUAUUAAGCCAUUUGGAAACACUGCUCUGACAAACAACUGGAGAAGGAAAUGGCAACCCGCUCCAGUGUUCUUGCCUGGAGAAUCCNNNNNNNNNNNNNNNNNNNNNNNNNNNNNUCUAUGGGGUCGCACAGAGUCGUACACGGCUGAAGUGACUUAGCAGCAGCAGCAGCAGCUCUGACAAACAACAGCUUUCAAAAAUAAAACGAAGCAGCACUCCUCUCCUUUACCUACCAAACUGGCUCCUUGACUGUUCUGUUUCAUUUUAGAGACUUCCCCCAUUCUUCUCUGUUUGAGGGCACAACCCUUGGGAUUUUUUUUUUAAGAAUGCUACUGUGCUUUAAGGGUUUCAUUAUAUUCAAAUUGGCAAGUUAAAACAAAGCCCUACUAGUGAACUAAGAAAAAUAUCAGACAUGAUAUAUUUGUAUCUUAACACAUCAAACUUCGAAUUCCAUUACCAAAAUACUGGAGUCUGGCUCAGAACUCAGGGUCUCCCAGGGCCCAUUCAGGGGAGCUGGGAGUUGCNNNNNNNNNNNNNNNNNNNNNNNNNNNNNNNNNNNNNNNNNNNNCCCGGGCCAACUCCGCCCCUCCCAUUUCACACACAGGGAAAGCUGCGCAGCCGUGGCUUGCGGGGCACUUAAUUCUGGCCGGUCUGUGUAAAUAUAAAUACACAGCUAUUUUGACGCCACAAUCAAAGAAUGCCAGAGAAAAUGAAGGAACAAACAAAUGAUAAAAUCAGCUCUUUUUUGCGCAGCAGCAGAAAGAUCCUACCGAAUAGCAGGCAUGCCGAGUUCCCUAAAGUAGCACUUACAUUCCUCAACCAAAAUACUCCAAUCGUAUUAAUAGGGAGGCAGGAAAAAUAAUCCGGAGAAGAUCCUGUUGGGAGAAAAACCACGCUUGAUUCUCCUCCGGUCAGUCCUUUAAUGGUAUGUCUCACACAGCCACCGGGUGGGAGCACCUCAAUGGUUAAAUCAUCUUUAAUCAAGACUGGAGAAUAAGGGCAGGUUCACGGGGGAAAUGCCUUUCUGUUGCACGCUUAAUUGAGACUUUUGUGACUUGCCGUUAGGUCAGCGCCGCGCGCGGCCCAGGGUCCCGCAGCCCUGCCCUUUGUUACGCGGUGGACCCCGCCGGCAGGCCCAGCCCCCGGCCCCCGGGGCUUUCAGUCCCAGCGUGGGGUGCAGCGGCCCCCCAGGGCCGACACGUACUAGGGCCCACGGGCAGGGCGCAGCAACUCCACGCCCUGCAGCCCCGCACCGGGACGCCCGGGCCCGGUGCCCAUCAGCCCCUCGCGCCUAAAGCCGCGCGCGGCCCCCCGCCCGGACCGGAUCAGGUACGUAUCCUUAUGUAAUCGCCCCGGGGCCACGCCUUUCCCACCGCCCCACCUCCGCCAGGACAAAGUGAAGUUUAAAAUAGAAACCAAUUACCUGGCCUCGGCGGCGCCGGGGCCCCUGGAGCGCGGUGCGCGCUGCCGCGCACACCCCCGCCAGGCCAGGGCCCCGCGCAGACCCCAGCCCGGACCCCCACUGCCCAGUCCGCCGCAGACCCUCGCCCCGGCCCCCACUUCCCCGUUCCGCGUGGACCCCCGCCCCG
rnacentral:lncRNA from 1 species